CUAGCUUACGUGGAGGCGCUGGUGGGAUACUACCCUAGCUGUGUUGGCUUUCUAACCCGCACCACUUAUCGUGGUGGGAGACAGUGUCAGGCGGGCAGUUUGACUGGGGCGGUCGCCUCCUAAAAGGUAACGGAGGCGCUCAAAGGUUCCCUCAGAAUGGUUGGAAAUCAUUCAUAGAGUGUAAAGGCAUAAGGGAGCUUGACUGCGAGACCUACAAGUCGAGCAGGGUCGAAAGACGGACUUAGUGAUCCGGUGGUUCCGCAUGGAAGGGCCAUCGCUCAACGGAUAAAAGCUACCCCGGGGAUAA
rnacentral:rRNA from 2 species